CAUAGAUUAAGUGCCAAGCAUUUACAAUUGCUAGGUUGACCCAUUCCCUUUUUUCCCAUAAAGAUAGCUCGGGAAAUAUGCUACUCAAUGCUAAUUUAAAGUAACAGGACAUAACGCAUAAAAAAGUGCAUACGUUAAGUGACAGGACGUACAAAUGUACAAUAAGUGCGAAAGAGGUUUUUUUUUUAGGAUUAAGGCAGGAGGAAAGGCGGUUGGGGAUAAAGAGGGAAGCUAUGCAGCGUCCAGGUGAACUCUGAACAGGGAGCCCGUGGAGGUUACGGAAGACAGGGGUUAAUGAGGAAAUCUUGGUAAGUUGAACACGAGGCGUGCUGCUGCGUUCUGGAUACCCUGUAAAGGUUUGAUGGCGGAGGAAGGGAGUCCAGCCGGGAGCGAGUUGCAGUAGUCGAGGCCUCAGAUGAUGAGCGCUUGGACCAAGGGCUGAGCUGCUUCCCUUUUGAGGGAGGGCCGUAUCCUGCAGAUGUUGUAGAGAGCAAAUCCGUUAUCAAUUUUAUACCGAUUUUUCUUGACCAACAGAUCUUUCUUUAUAUUUUAUUUCUUUCUUCCAUUCUUUAUAUUAUACGUUUAGGUCUCUUUACUAUUAAUAAUUACUUAUUAUUGUGCGUAAAGCACGGGACAAAUUCCUAAUGCGAUGUUGAAAAUAAAGUCAAAUCUCAUUCUGA
ensembl:lncRNA